rnacentral:lncRNA from 10 species
GGAAACCAAGUGGAGUCCUAGAAGCCAAGUAAAGAAGGAUGGAGUGAUCAGCUGUGUCAAAAGCUGCUGGGUCAAGUGUCAGAGCCCUGCCAAAUCUGUGAGAAGGGUGGAAGCAAGUUUCCCUGAGGGAAAAAAAAACAACAAAAAAAAACCUUCUGGAAUUGGGAAAAAUUUAGGUCAACAUCAUUUGAACCUUGACCUCUUGCUCUUUUGUCCCCGGGUGGACAUUUCCUUGACCUCCAGAAAUUCCUCCACCUCAAGGGAAGACUUCUUGCCCCCCUCACUUCCAGAGGCCUCCAAAGUGGGCUGGGAAGAGAUUUAAAGCAGGACCCUGGGAAGCAUGAUGAGACUCUGGAGUGUAGAGAGGCUUCCCUGCAAUGCAAAGAUCUUCAAAGGCCAAGCCCAAGGCACUGCAACCCCCAGGAGGGCCCACUCCAAAGCAGAACAGUGGAGGGAGAGCCUGCGUGUCAAGAAGCCUGGACAGCAAGACCCCCUACUGUGGCAGCCAGCCUGCUUGUAGGAGUCCUGAGAAGCCUAAUUCAAUUACCCUUAUCAGAAUGUCUCUGAACUUAACAAAGCAGAUAAUGAGUUCCAGAGACAGAUACUGCUUGGGGGGCCAAAAUUAUUUUGCUUCCCCAAAUUGGAGGCUGAAAUUGGAGAUGUUUGAAUAAUGGAAAACAUAAUCCUUCCCUAGGCCCAACCCCCUCCCAGUACCCACACCUGAGACACCCUUUCAACCAAGGAGCCUGGAUUCAACAUCCAUGCCGUCUCUCCUCCUGAAGACACCUGGUCAUGAACUCGACCUCUUUCCCCCACCAUCUUUGUGCCAUCGAUGGAAGGAAGCUGCGUACAGGAUGGAAGUGGGAGGGGAAAGGGAUUAACAUUUAUGGAGCCCUCCCCUCUAUGUGUCAGCUACAUAACACAUAGCAUUCAUUUCAACCACAGAACAUAUGUCUUUACAUUACAGAAGGCAACGGAGAACUGGAAAAGUUAACUUACUGCCUGAGGACCCAUCCCCAUCUCACCAGCAGCACAGUCAGAUUCAGACACAGGUAUUCAACUUUGCAACACACUGUGCCUCACGGCCUGUGUGCUCAACAUCAGAAAUCAAAUAGAAACUCCCUCAUUCUAAGAUUCAUAGCCAUCCUCCGAGAUAUGACAUAGCGACCUCUCCUCCGUGAACAGGGAAACAGACUGAGAGGAUAACCUAACUCUCCCAAGGCCAGAGUAUCCACUGGGAUAUGCAGCCAAGUCAGCCAGCAGUUGAAACAAGGGCUCUCUGUGCUAUCUCACAUCUGAAUUGAAUUGUUUCCUACAGACUUCUCAUAGCUCUCUAGGCAAGGAAUACAUCUUCUCACCUUCCCACACUAAGAAAGGCCUCUGUCUGAGCCUGGGUGCCGGGUGGCCAGGAUUCCUGCUGAACGUUCAGGAGCUUUCCAUCUCCAGAGGUGAGCUCCUAGUUCCUGCUUACCUUAGAACUGUAGAACAUAUAAUGUUACCACUGAAAAGAACCUCUCGUAUAGUUGGAUCACACCCUUUACCUAUUUAUUUAAAUGUACUGUUUUAAUUAUGUAACAUUUGAUAUGUGCAGGAUAAUAUGUAUGCAAAUUAUAAAGCAUAAUAAUAAAACCUGUGAACCCACCACUCAACCUUAGAACCAGACCAUUACAAUUGAUGUCCCUCCUACUUCCCCAACAGAAAUAACCACUGUCCGGGACUUUAUGUUUAUAGCCCCACCCCCCACAAUGAUUUUUAUAGUUUUGCCAAAUAUGUUAGCAUGGUAGAUUGCAUUAUUGCUCUGAGUUAAAUAUCCUUCCUUUGACAUAUAAUUUGGCAGUUCCUUCCAUUGGAAGUGAAAUACAUUUCUCUGCCCAAGAUGUUAGAUUUGCUUUGGUCAGUAGAAUGUUGCAGGCUGUGACGGUGAAAAUUCUGAGCCCAGGCCUUAAGAGGAAUCACCUGUUUCCACAUUCCCCACUUGUAUUUCUGCCUCUGCCAUGAGAAAAACAUGCUUCAGGUCACCUGCUGCUCCAAGGAGGAUGAGAGACCUAUGGGGAAGACCUGGACCCAAUCUGAAGUUAGAACUAAGUGCAACUGAGCCCAGCCUGGAUUAACCAACUCCCAGCCAAUCCACAGACACCUGGCUCUGCGAAGGCACGCGCUGAAAAUCACACAGCUGGAAAUGGUGAAUCCAAGCUGCCCAGUACCAGAGGGCGGGCACUUAACCCUCCACACACCCCAGUCUUUCCAGUAGAAACUACCUCAACAGGCUGUGGUAGGAGUUAGACGAGAUGACACAUAUGAAUCACUUGGACACCAUGUUCAGCAAGUGGGACCUCCUGACAGCAUAAGAAGUUCAGAGCUCAAAGACUUUAACCUGUCCAAACUUCAGCACUAAGGGAGACCGAUUAUGCUGUAUGACCUUGGGAAAAUCACCUCACUUCUGGGCCUCAGUUUCCACGCAUGUAAAAUGGGGAUAAAGAAACAACCCAGCUCCUGGGAUUGAUAUGAAGACUGCAUGAGAUGAUACGCAGGACACCCGUGGCACAAUGCAGGGCUUGCAGUAAGAGCUCAAUAAAUACCACCUGCUAUUUGUCUAUAAGUGUGUUUAGCAACAUCUUUGAAUGGAAUCAUAUUGUGCAUUACUUUUUGUAACUUUUUUUCACUCAUUUAGUGUGAUCAUUAAAUAUCCUUCGAG